rnacentral:lncRNA from 1 species
AUUUGAUACAUUAAUGUUGUAAUUUCUUAUGACCUUAUGCAUUUAUAUCAUGCAGGAUGAUUACUGAUAAUAUUCACUAUGAAUAACAUUGUUCAAUAAUAAUUUAUCCACAUCCCUUGAAUCUUGAUUUUCCGGCAAUGUCACUUCCAACUACUACUUCAAGUUCAGACAAACAAGUUGGAGCUGCCUUCAUCACUUGUAAAGCUGCAGGAGUCCAAGCAAGGUAGACGCGAGCCCAGAAAGAAAAAAGAUAUUGCACUUUUGUCCUUUGUUAUGUUUGGUAGAGUGCAUAUAAUAUUGGACAAUAUUACCCAAAAAUAAAUAAAUAAAUAAAAAUAAAAAAGUUGAAAUCUUAUCCAUUAUACUGUCAAAUAAAAUGCACUAAACCUGCCUUUGAUGUUCUCAAAAUGCAUAUUAUGUAAUUCCUAAAAAGAUCUUCAAUUUGAUGUUCCUCUGUGCUACAGCAAAGGCUUGUGGAGUGACAGACUAGUUGAAUCCAAAUGACUAUGAUGAACAAAUCGCACAGUUUUAUUUUCUUUUUUCACAGCAACUUUUGCACACUUGUAACUAUAUUCUUGAUGGUACAUCAAUGUCGAAUAGUUUCCAGAUAAUAAAGCGAGUGAAGGACUAGUGCCGACUACGCAUUUGAAUGCAUAGAAGAAUAGAAGAUACAUGAAUGAUUACUACAGCUUUACAGUCGUGAUGUA